GGGGAUAUAGGUCAGUAGUAGAGCACUUGCCUAGAAUGCAAGAGGCCCUGAGUUCAAUCCCCAGCAUUACUG
rnacentral:tRNA from 1 species